rnacentral:rRNA from 1 species
AUUGAACGCUGGCAGCAGGCCUAACACAUGCAAGUCGAACGAGUGGCGGACGGGUGAGUAAUGUCUGGGAAACUGCCCGAUGGAGGGGGAUAACUACUGGAAACUGUUGCUAAUACCGCAUACCAUCUGAUGUGCCCAGAUGGGAUUAGCUAGUAGGUGGGGUAACGGCUCACCUAGGCGACGAUCCCUAGCUGGUCUGAGAGGAUGACCCGCCAAACUGGAACUAGGACAGGGUCCAGACCCCUACGGGAGGCAGCAGUGGGGAAUAUUGGACAAUGGGCGAAAGCCGGAUGCAGAGAGGCCACGUGGAUGCAGAAGGCCUUAGGGUUGUAAAGUACUUUAAGCGAGGAGGCGUUACUGGCAGAAGAAGCAACGGCUAACUCCGUGCCAGCCGCCGCGGUAAUUC